CAUUUUUGUUUUUAAUCAACUUGAAUGCUAUUAAUUAUUAGUAUUCAUCUUCUUGGAAAAUUAAUCACUGCUGUAUCAUUUACUGAAAAUAAUCGGACUGUAAAGCAUACAUAUGAUCAGACUUAGACUAUAUUGAUCAUUUAACUUACGCUUUCACUGUAUGAGAUGAGGCAUGAUGUAAGCAUAGUAGUUCGAUAUGUUCAUCGAUCUCCAUAAUAAUAUAUUCAUCAAUCUCUAUGAAUCACCAGAUUCAUUUGACAUCAGUGACAAUAUUUCCAUCAGGCAACAACUCAGUGGUUCAGAAGAUGAAGACCAUCAUAAAUGAGAGUAAGAUCUCGAAGAAACUUUCUUCAAACAAGUACAAAAUUAUUGAAGAGAGAUGGAACGUAACAAACACCUUACUACAUCCGUCUUCGCAUUGAGUCCAAAAUGUUUCAAGUUUGUUUGCAGCUGAGCAGAAUUAAAGCGCAUAUUCUUCCAUCCACUUAGUGGAUAGCAACAGUUUGCACUAAAAGAAUAAAGAGUACUUAGUGUACAUGCUUCUAACUUGCAUUGCCUUUACACAGUUAACAUGGCUACAAGGAAGGGGACAUGAGCUUGUGGGAUAUAGAGCCAUAUCAUAUUAACUUGAAAGUUUCCACUUUCCAACAUAUGGAAUUUGAGGAGCUAGAUAGAGCACACUUUUAGUGUGAGUGGUGGUGACACUCGUGUUUCUUCAAAUCUUUGUAUAUCUUGUAACGUCAAUGAUGAUGUUUUUGAAGACAUGACUUUGAAACUCGAUUGUUGAAUUUAUUAUUUAACAUUAUAUUUUUUAAUAUUGUGUCUUUAAUAA